rnacentral:rRNA from 1 species
AGAGUUGAUCCUGGCUCAGGAUGAACGCUGGCGGCGUGCUUAACACAUGCAAGUCGAACGGAGUGUACUUUGAUGAAGAUUCGUCUGAUCAGCUGUACACUAGUGGCGGACGGGUGAGUAACGCGUGGGUAACCUGCCUCAUACAGGGGGAUAGCAGCUGGAAACGGCUGAUAAAACCGCAUAAGCGCACACUAUCGCAUGGUAGAGUGUGAAAAACUCCGGUGGUAUGAGAUGGACCCGCGUCUGAUUAGCUAGUUGGUGAGGUAACGGCCCACCAAGGCGACGAUCAGUAGCCGGCCUGAGAGGGUGAACGGCCACAUUGGAACUGAGACACGGCCCAAACUCCUACGGGAGGCAGCAGUGGGGAAUAUUGCACAAUGGGGGAAACCCUGAUGCAGCGACGCCGCGUGAAGGACGACGUAUUUCGGUAUGUAAACUUCUAUCAGCAGGGAAGAACAAGUGACGGUACCUGACUAAGAAGCCCCGGCUAACUACGUGCCAGCAGCGGC